UGCCUGUACCAUAACCGACACAGGUGGGUAAGUAGAGUAUACUAAGGGGCGCGAGAUAACUCUCUCUAAGGAACUCGGCAAAAUAACUCCGUAACUUCGGGAGAAGGAGUGCCUUAUUCUUAAGGUUGCAAUAACAAGAUCCAAGCAACUGUUUAUCAAAAACACAGGUCUCCGCUAAGUCGUAAGACGAUGUAUGGGGGCUGACGCCUGCCCAGUGCCAGAAGGUUAAAGAAGUCGGUUAGCAAUAGCAAAGCUGGUAACUGAAGCCCUGGUGAACGGCGGCCGUAACAAUAACGGUCCUAAGGUAGCGAAAUUCCUUGUCGGGUAAGUUCCGACCCGCACGAAAGGCGUAAUGAUUUGGAUGCUGUCUCGGAGAGGGGCUCGGUGAAAUAGACUUGUCUGUGAAGAUGCGGACUACCUGCACCAGGACAGAAAGACCCUAUGAAGCUUUACUGUAACUUGAAAUUGAAAUUGGACUUUAUUCGCGCAGUAUAGGUGGGAGGCGUUGAUUAUAAUCUUGUGGGAUUAUUGGAGCCAUCAGUGAGAUACCACUCUUGUAAUGUUAGAUUUCUAACUUUGAAUUAUUAUCUGGUCAAAGGACAGUUUCAGGCGGGCAGUUUGACUGGGGCGGUCGCCUCCUAAACGGUAACGGAGGCGUACAAAGGUUUCCUCUGAACGGUUAGAAAUCGUAUCUAGAGUGUAAAGGCAUAAGGAAGCUUGACUGUGAGACCUACAAGUCGAGCAGGGACGAAAGUCGGUCUUAGUGAUCUGACGGUACUGAGUGGAAAGGCCGUCACUCAACGGAUAAAAGUUACUCUAAGGAUAACAGGCUGAUCUCCCCCAAGAGUUCACAUCGACGGGGAGGUUUGGCACCUCGAUGUCGGCUCAUCGCAUCCUGGGGCGGUAGUACGUCCCAAGGGUUGGGCUGUUCGCCCAUGAAAGCGGUACGCGAGCUGGGUUCAGAACGUCGUGAGACAGUUCGGUCCAUAUCCGGUGUAGGCGCUAGAAUAUUGAGAGGUGCCUUCUUUAGUACGAGAGGACCGAGAAGGACAUACCUCUGGUGUACCAGUUAUCGUGCCAACGGUAAACGCUGGGUAGCUAUGUAUGGAGUGGAUAACCGCUGAAAGCAUCUAAGUGGGAAGCCCACCUCAGGAUAAGUAUUCUCAUCACGUAAGUGAGUAAGGUCACGGUAAGACUAACCGUUUGAUAGGCAUUAAGUGUAAGUACAGUAAUGUAUGUGCUGAGAUGUCCUAAUAGACCGAGGAC
rnacentral:rRNA from 1 species